UACGAAGGGGGCUAGCGUUGCUCGGAAUCACUGGGCGUAAAGGGUGCGUAGGCGGGUCUUUAAGUCAGGGGUGAAAUCCUGGAGCUCAACUCCAGAACUGCCUUUGAUACUGAGGAUCUUGAGUUCGGGAGAGGUGAGUGGAACUGCGAGUGUAGAGGUGAAAUUCGUAGAUAUUCGCAAGAACACCAGUGGCGAAGGCGGCUCACUGGCUCGUAACUGACGCUCAGGCGCGACAGCGUGGGGAUCAAACAGG
rnacentral:rRNA from 1 species